rnacentral:rRNA from 1 species
CCCUUAGAUGUCCGGGGCCGCACGCGCGCUACACUGAAGGAAUCAGCGUGGCUUUCUCCCUGACCCGAAAGGGUUGGGAAACCCGUUGAAUCUCCUUCGUGAUAGGGAUUGGGGCUUGAAAUUGUUCCCCAUGAACGAGGAAUUCCCAGUAAGCGCGAGUCAUAAGCUCGCGUUGAUUACGUCCCUGCCCUUUGUACACACCGCCCGUCGCUACUACCGAUUGAACGGUCCGGUGAAAUCUUCGGACCGUGACUUUGAUUUGUUUACUCAAAACGCUGUUACGGGAAGUUGAUUAAACCUUACCAUUUAGAGGAAGGUGAAGUCGUAACA